rnacentral:rRNA from 1 species
GUCCACGCCGUAAACGAUGAAUACUAGGUGUGGGGACUGACCCCUUCCGUGCCGCAGUUAACACAAUAAGUAUUCCACCUGGGGAGUACGACCGCAAGGUUGAAACUCAAAGGAAUUGACGGGGCCCGCACAAGCGGUGGAGCAUGUGGUUUAAUUCGAAGCAACGCGAAGAACCUUACCAGGUCUUGACAUCCCGAUGCCCGCUCUAGAGAUAGAGUUUUACUCGGUACAUCGGUGACAGGUGGUGCAUGGUUGUCGU